GGCCUUUAGAUAAUAAUUUAAGGUCUAGCCUGCCCACUGAGGAAUUAAAUGGCCGCAGUAAUUUGACUGUGCUAAGGUAGCAUAAUCAAUAGUUUUUUAAUUGAAAGCUGGAAUGAAAGGUAAAAUGAGAAAAAGACUGUCUUAUUAAAAAUAAUGGAAUUUUAUUUUUAAAUAAAAAAGUUUAAAUAAAAUUAAAAGACGAGAAGACCCUAUAGAGUUUUAUAUUUUUUAAAUUUUAAUAUUUAAGAAUUUAAAAAAUUAAUUUUUAAUGAAUAUUUGAUUGGGGUGAUUAUAAAAUUUAAUAAACUUUUAUUUAUUUAUUCACUAAUUUGUGAUUAUUUGAUCCAUAAUUUAUGAUUAAAAGAUUAAAUUACCUUAGGGAUAACAGCGUAAUUUUUUUAGAGAGUUCUAAUCGAAAAAAGAGUUUGCGACCUCGAUGUUGGAUUAAAGUUAAAUUUUGGGGGAGAAGUUAAAAAUUUAAGUCUGUUCGACUUUUAAAACUUUACA
rnacentral:rRNA from 2 species